rnacentral:rRNA from 1 species
GACGAACGCUGGCGGCGUGGAUUAGGCAUGCAAGUCGAACGGUAUCAUCCUUUCGGGGGUGAGAGAGUGGCGAACUGGUGAGUAACACGUAGGUUAUCUACCCUCAAGACGGGGACAACCCAGGGAAACUUGGGCUAAUACCGGAUGUGAGCAACUUUUAGUUGUUUGAAAGGUGGCGUAAGCUGUCGCUUGGGGAUGAGCCUGCGUCCUAUUAGUUAGUUGGUGAGGUAACGGCUCACCUAGGCAAUGAUAGGUAGGCGGCCUUAACGGGUGGUCGCCCACACUGGGAUUGAGAUACGGCCCAGACUCCUACGGGAGGCAGCAGUCGAGAAUAGUCUACAAUGGUCGGAAGACUGAUAGUGCGACGCCGCGUGAACGAUGAAUCCCUUCGGGGUGUAAAGUUCUUUUAUAUGUGAGCAGUGCUUCUUAUAUUAACAGUAUGGGGAAGAGAUAUUAGCAUAUGAAUAAGCAACGGCUAACUCCGUGCCAGCAGCCGACGGUAAACA